AUGCUUUGACAGCAGAUAUCCUCAAAAUGGAAUGAUACAAAGAGGAUUAGCAUGGUCUCUGCACAAGGAGGAUAUACAAAAUCAUGAAGCAUUCCAAAUAAAA
rnacentral:snRNA from 1 species